CUAUGGACUUAUUAUUUCCUAAUUACAUGUGCACAUGUAUUUGAAAUAUUUAAGUUGUGGAUAUAGUUGUUCGAAUUAUAUUCCAUGCAUACGGUUCAGAAUGCUACGUAAAUAAAUCCCAAGUCAGUUAUUAUAUUAACGUAUAUCUUUGAAAGUCAGUUUUAAAACUGGUAUAAACUUCCAGUAACUGCUCCUAACAGUUAGAAUUUAUCUCUAUAAAUUCUAGGAGUGUCAUCUGAUCAAAUGCGCAAUUAUCUUGCAUGAUAUCUUGAUAUAUCACAGUACAAUAACUCUCUAGUAAGUUCUUAUCAAGGCAACCUAAGAACUUUGUUUUCAUCUUCUUGUAUCCCAUAAGAUUUAAUCUUGAUACCUCGUUGCUUUUAAAGAGGAAAGAUUAAAAGCUUAUAGGAAAGUGAUAUCACGCCUGAAUAUCUCAUCUCCUCUCCUGUUUUCUUCUCUUGUCCGAAAUUUUUCCAACACAAACUCAGGGACAAUUUAGCAAUAUCAACAUGGACAAAAUUGUCAUUUCAUAUUAGUAUUUAAAGACCUUAAAUAAAUAAUUAUACUUUCCUUUUGAAAAAUCAUACAAAUUUAUAAUUUUCACAUUUUUCACAUAUAAAUACAAUGGAUUGCUUACUUUGGAAAUCAUAAUUCUUCAUUUUUUAUUGCCUCCCACUUCUUCUCGUUCUUUAAUUUGUGAAAUCAUAUCUUGGUGACACUCUCAUUCCCUUCUUCCACCACCCAGUAACUACAAUGGAUUAGUGUUGCACCUAUGAAAACUUGGAAGGAUCUUUGGUGGGGGAGGUCGUAGGUUGCAAGGGAUGCGAAACAAAGUGGA